UGGGGAAUUUUGGACAAUGGGGGAAACCCUGAUCCAGCCAUCCCGCGUGUGCGAUGAAGGCCUUCGGGUUGUAAAGCACUUUUGGCAGGAAAGAAACGUCGCGGGUUAAUACCCCGCGAAACUGACGGUACCUGCAGAAUAAGCACCGGCUAACUACGUGCCAGCAGCCGCGGUAAUACGUAGGGUGCAAGCGUUAAUCGGAAUUACUGGGCGUAAAGCGUGCGCAGGCGGUUCGGAAAGAAAGAUGUGAAAUCCCAGAGCUUAACUUUGGAACUGCAUUUUUAACUACCGGGCUAGAGUGUGUCAGAGGGAGGUGGAAUUCCGCGUGUAGCAGUGAAAUGCGUAGAUAUGCGGAGGAACACCGAUGGCGAAGGCAGCCUCCUGGGAUAACACUGACGCUCAUGCACGAAAAGCGUGGGGAGCAAACAGGAUUAGAUACCCUGGUAGUCCACGCCCUAAACGAUGUCAACUAGCUGUUGGGGCCUUCGGGCCUUGGUAGCGCAGCUAACGCGUGAAGUUGACCGCCUGGGGAGUACGGUCGCAAGAUUAAAAACUCAAAUGAAUUGACGGGGUCAUAGCUGUUUCCU
rnacentral:rRNA from 1 species